rnacentral:rRNA from 1 species
UGGGGAAUUUUCCGCAAUGGGGGGAACCCUGACGGAGCAACGCCGCGUGCGGGAGGACGGCCUGUGGGUUGUAAACCGCUUUUCUCUGGGAAGAAGCUCUGACGGUACCAGAGGAAUCAGCAUCGGCUAACUCCGUGCCAGCAGCCGCGGUAAGACGGAGGAUGCAAGCGUUAUCCGGAAUUAUUGGGCGUAAAGCGUCCGUAGGCGGUGGUUCAAGUCUGCUGUUAAAGACUACAGCUCAACUGUGGGAUGGCGGUGGAAACUGAAUGACUAGAGUGCGGUAGGGGUAGAGGGAAUUCCCAGUGUAGCGGUGAAAUGCGUAGAUAUUGGGAAGAACACCAGUGGCGAAGGCGCUCUGCUGGGCCGCAACUGACGCUGAUGGACGAAAGCUAGGGGAGCGAAUGGGAUUAGAUACCCCUGUAGUCC